rnacentral:rRNA from 1 species
UAACACGUGAGCAACCUGCCCCUGACUCUGGGAUAAGCGCUGGAAACGGCGUCUAAUACUGGAUACGAACCGCGAAGGCAUCUUCAGUGGUUGGAAAGAAUUUCGGUUGGGGAUGGGCUCGCGGCCUAUCAGCUUGUUGGUGAGGUAAUGGCUCACCAAGGCGUCGACGGGUAGCCGGCCUGAGAGGGUGACCGGCCACACUGGGACUGAGACACGGCCCAGACUCCUACGGGAGGCAGCAGUGGGGAAUAUUGCACAAUGGGCGCAAGCCUGAUGCAGCAACGCCGCGUGAGGGAUGACGGCCUUCGGGUUGUAAACCUCUUUUAGCAGGGAAGAAGCGAAAGUGACGGUACCUGCAGAAAAAGCGCCGGCUAACUACGUGCCAGCAGCCGCGGUAAUACGUAGGGCGCAAGCGUUAUCCGGAAUUAUUGGGCGUAAAGAGCUCGUAGGCGGUUUGUCGCGUCUGCUGUGAAAUCCCGAGGCUCAACCUCGGGCCUGCAGUGGGUACGGGCAGACUAGAGUGCGGUAGGGGAGAUUGGAAUUCCUGGUGUAGCGGUGGAAUGCGCAGAUAUCAGGAGGAACACCGAUGGCGAAGGCAGAUCUCUGGGCCGUAACUGACGCUGAGGAGCGAAAGGGUGGGGAGCAAACAGGCUUAGAUACCCUGGUAGUCCACCCCGUAAACGUUGGGAACUAGUUGUGGGGUCCAUUCCACGGAUUCCGUGACGCAGCUAACGCAUUAAGUUCCCCGCCUGGGGAGUACGGCCGCAAGGCUAAAACUCAAAGGAAUUGACGGGGACCCGCACAAGCGGCGGAGCAUGCGGAUUAAUUCGAUGCAACGCGAAGAACCUUACCAAGGCUUGACAUAUACGAGAACGGGCCAGAAAUGGUCAACUCUUUGGACACUCGUAAACAGGUGGUGCAUGGUUGUCGUCAGCUCGUGUCGUGAGAUGUUGGGUUAAGUCCCGCAACGAGCGCAACCCUCGUUCUAUGUUGCCAGCACGUAAUGGUGGGAACUCAUGGGAUACUGCCGGGGUCAACUCGGAGGAAGGUGGGGAUGACGUCAAAUCAUCAUGCCCCUUAUGUCUUGGGCUUCACGCAUGCUACAAUGGCCGGUACAAAGGGCUGCAAUACCGCGAGGUGGAGCGAAUCCCAAAAAGCCGGUCCCAGUUCGGAUUGAGGUCUGCAACUCGACCUCAUGAAGUCGGAGUCGCUAGUAAUCGCAGAUCAGCAACGCUGCGGUGAAUACGUUCCCGGGUCUUGUACACACCGCCC